UCCGGUUGAUCCUGCCGGACCCCACUGCUAUCGGGAUAGGACUAAGACAUGCUAGUUGAGCGCUUCCAGCCAACACGGGAGCGCAGCGCACAGCUCAGUAACACGUGGCUAAUCUGCCCUUGGGACCGGAACACCCCCGGGAAACUGGGGCUAAUUCUCGAUAGGUGAAGAACUCUGGAAUGAGUCUUUGCCAAAAAGACGCUUACGUUAUGCUCGUAGGCGUCGCCCAAGGAUGAGGCCGCGACCGAUCAGGUUGUUGGCGAGGUAAUGGCUCACCAAGCCUUUUACCGGUGCGGGCCGUGAGAGCGGGAGCCCGGAGAUGGGCACUGAGACAAGGGCCCAGGCCCUACGGGGCGCAGCAGUCGCGAAAACUUUGCAAUACACGAAAGUGUGACAGGGCUAUCCCGAGUGCCAUCCGCUGAGGAAGGCUUUUACCCAGUUUAGAACGCUGGGGGAAUAAGGAGAGGGCAAGUCUGGUGUCAGCCGCCGCGGUAAUACCAGCUCUCCGAGUGGUAUGGAUGUUUAUUGGGCCUAAAGUAUCCGUAGCUGGCUAAGUUAGUCCCUUGUUAAAUCCACCGAAUUAAUCGUUGGAUUGCGGGGGAUACUGCUUGGCUAGGGGACGAGAGAGGCAGACGGUAUUCCCGGGGUAGGGGUGAAAUCCUAUAAUCCCGAGAAGACCACCAGUGGCGAAGGCUGUCUGCUAGAACGCGCCCGACGGUGAGGGAUGAAAGCUGGGGGAGCGAACCGGAUUAGAUACCCGGGUAGUCCCAGCUGUAAACGAUGCAGGCUAGGUGUUUGGACGGCCACGUGCCGUUCUAGUGCCGCAGGGAAGCUGUUAAGCCUGCCGCCUGGGGAGUACGAUCGCAAGAUUGAAACUUAAAGGAAU
rnacentral:rRNA from 1 species